AUUGAACGCUGGCGGCAGGCCUAACACAUGCAAGUCGAACGAGUGGCGGACGGGUGAGUAAUGUCUGGGAAACUGCCCGAUGGAGGGGGAUAACUACUGGAAACGGUAGCUACUACCGCAUACCAUCGGAUGUGCCCAGAUGGGAUUAGCUAGUAGGGGGGGUAACGGCUCACCUAGGCGACGAUCCCUAGCUGGUCUGAGAGGAUGACCGGCCACACGGGAACUGAGACAGGGUCCAGACUCAUACGGGAGGCAGCAGUGGGGAAUAUUGCACAAUGGGCGCAAGCCUGACGCAGCCAUGCCGCGUGUAUGAAGAAGGCCUUCGGGUUGUAAAGUACUUUCGGCGAGGAGGCGUUACUCGCAGAAGAAGCACCGGCUAACUCCGUGCCAGCAGCCGCGGUAAUUC
rnacentral:rRNA from 1 species